rnacentral:tRNA from 1 species
AAAAACUUWGGAUAUUAAAACCAAGGGCCUUCAAAGCCCUAAAAAAGGGUGCAAUCCC